rnacentral:rRNA from 1 species
AUUGAACGCUGGCGGCAGGCCUAACACAUGCAAGUCGAGCGGAUCGGCCGACGGGCGAGUAAUGCCUAUGUAUCUGCCUGUUCGUGGUGGAUUACGUCCUGCAACGGGCGCUAAUUCCUCAUCCUAUCUGAUGAGCCUAGGCCGGAUUAGCUAGUUGGUGGGUUAAAGGCCUACCCAGGCGACGAUCCGUAACUGGUCUGAGAGGAUGAUCAGUCACACGGGAACUGAGACACGGUCCAGAAUCCGACGGGAGGCAGCAGUGGGGAAGAUUGGAAAAUGGGCGAAAGCCUGAUGCAGCCAUGCCGCGUGUGUGAAGAAGGUCUUCGGAUUGUAAAGCACUUUAAGUGGGGAGGCGUUACCAACAGAAUAAGCACCGGCUAACUUCGUGCCAGCCGCCGCGGUAAUUC